CAACAGCUCAAAUUUGAAAUCUGGCCUCGUCGGGGCCCGAGUUGUAAUUUGUAGAGGGUGUUUCGGGCGCGAUGCCGGUCUAAGUUCCUUGGAACAGGACGUCGUAGAGGGUGAGAAUCCCGUAUGCGACCGGCGAUCAAGCCCGUGCGAAGCCCCUUCGACGAGUCGAGUUGUUUGGGAAUGCAGCUCAAAAUGGGUGGUAAAUUUCAUCUAAAGCUAAAUACCGGCCAGAGACCGAUAGCGGACAAGUAGAGUGAUCGAAAGAUGAAAAGCACUUUGGAAAGAGAGUCAAACAGUACGUGAAAUUGUUGAAAGGGAAGCGCUUGCAAUCAGACCGGUCCGGAGGCGAUCAGCCGCUGCUCGUCAGCGGUGCACUCGCCUGCGAUCCGGCCAGCAUCGGUUUGGGCGGCGGGACAAAAGUCCCGGGAAUGUAGCUUCUCUCGGGGAGUCUUAUAGCCCGGGUCGCAAUGCCGCCCGCCCGGACCGAGGACCGCGCUUCGGCUAGGAUGCUGGCGUAAUGGUUGCAAGCG
rnacentral:rRNA from 1 species